GACGAACGCUGGCGGCGUGCCUAAUACAUGCAAGUAGAACGCUGAAGGAGGAGCUUGCUUCUCUGGAUGAGUUGCGAACGGGUGAGUAACGCGUAGGUAACCUGCCUGGUAGCGGGGGAUAACUAUUGGAAACGAUAGCUAAUACCGCAUAAGAGUAGAUGUUGCAUGGCAUUUGCUUAAAAGGUGCAAUUGCAUCACUACCAGAUGGACCUGCGUUGUAUUAGCUAGUUGGUGGGGUAACGGCUUACCAAGGCGACGAUACAUAGCCGACCUGAGAGGGUGAUCGGCCACACUGGGACUGAGACACGGCCCAGACUCCUACGGGAGGCAGCAGUAGGGAAUCUUCGGCAAUGGACGGAAGUCUGACCGAGCAACGCCGCGUGAGUGAAGAAGGUUUUCGGAUCGUAAAGCUCUGUUGUAAGAGAAGAACGAGUGUGAGAGUGGAAAGUUCACACUGUGACGGUAUCUUACCAGAAAGGGACGGCUAACUACGUG
rnacentral:rRNA from 1 species